rnacentral:rRNA from 1 species
GAUGAACGCUGGCGGCGUGCCUAAUACAUGCAAGUCGAGCGAACAGACGAGGAGCUUGCUCCUCUGACGUUAGCGGCGGACGGGUGAGUAACACGUGGAUAACCUACCUAUAAGACUGGGAUAACUUCGGGAAACCGGAGCUAAUACCGGAUAAUAUGUUGAACCGCAUGGUUCAAUAGUGAAAGACGGUCUUGCUGUCACUUAUAGAUGGAUCCGCGCCGCAUUAGCUAGUUGGUAAGGUAACGGCUUACCAAGGCAACGAUGCGUAGCCGACCUGAGAGGGUGAUCGGCCACACUGGAACUGAGACACGGUCCAGACUCCUACGGGAGGCAGCAGUAGGGAAUCUUCCGCAAUGGGCGAAAUCCUGACGGAGCAACGCCGCGUGAGUGAAGAAGGUCUUCGGAUCGUAAAACUCUGUUAUUAGGGAAGAACAAAUGUGUAAGUAACUAUGCACGUCUUGACGGUACCUAAUCAGAAAGCCACGGCUAACUACGUG